rnacentral:lncRNA from 10 species
CUCCAUCUUGCUUCUAACCUCCAAGCUGUCCUUGUUCAUUCCUGGGCGCAGGCUAAACUAACUUUGGGAGAAACUUAGCUUAUAGUUUAUUGUUUAAACAAAGAUGGUAACAGCCCUUUCCCAAAGCAGACCUCCUUCUUGCCUGGGGACUAGAUUGCCUUUGUAGGGCUAACAUUAGCCAGAAGAUUAGAAAUUAUGGUUUGGGAGUUCAUGCAGCUGGAGGCUACAAGAUUCUGACCCUCCCUAAACUGCCCCUAAGAUCAGUGCCUGAGAUAUUUUGCAGACCCUUCACUUGAUGGAUCAGCUGGCACCACCCAGAUAGUUAAACUGGCUCUUCUGAUCUUGUGGCCCCCACCCAAGAACUGAUUGAACGCAAGAAGGCAGCUCUGACUCCCUAUGAUUUCAUCUCUGACCAAUCAGCACUCCUGACUCACUGGCUUCUCCCGACCCACCAAGUUAUCCUUAACAGCUCUGCUCCCUGAAUGCUCGGGGAGACUGAUUUGAGUAAUAAUAAAACUCGGAUCUCCCGCACAGCCAGCUCUGCACGAAUUACUCUUUCUCUAUUGCAAUUCCCGUCUUAAUGAAUCGGCUCUGUCUAGGUAGCAGGCAAGGUGAACCCCUUGGGUGGUUGCAGGUUAAGCAAAUAGGUCAGGUGAUUUUAUGUUCAUUUUAGCUGUAGAACUUUGUUCUAGUCUAUCUGAAAAGUUUUUAGACAAGAAAGUCAAGGGAGGUUUUCACGAUCAGUGGACUCUUCCUUUUUUUUUCAAAAAUCGAGUUGGUUCAAUGAGUAUUAUUUAUUGAGGGAACUCUUUAAAAUACUGAACAUUGUUAAUGACUUUCACGCGCGUCCGUGUGAAGAGACCACCAAACAGGCUUUGUGUGAGCAACAAGGCUGUUUAUUUCACCUGGGUGCAGGCGGGCUGAGUCCGAAAAGAGAGUCAGCAAAGGGAGAUGGGGUGGGGCCGUUUUAUAGGAUUAGGGAAGGUAAUGGAAAAUUACAGUCAAAGGGGGUUUGUUCUCUGGUGGGCAGGUGUGGAUCUCACAAAGUACACUCUCAAGGGUGGGGAGAAUUACAAAGGACCUUCUUAAGGGUGGGGGAGAUUACAAAGUACAUUUAUCAGUUAGGGUGGGGCAGGAACAAAUCACAAUGUUGGAAUGUCAUCAGUUAAGGCUGUUUUUACUUCUUUUGUGGAUCUUCAGUUACUUUAGGCCAUCUGGAUGUAUACGUGCAAGUCACAGGGGAUGCGAUGGCCUGGCCUGGGCUCAGAGGCCUGACAUUCCUGCCUUCUUAUAUUAAUAAGACAAAUAAAACAAAAUAGUGUUGAAGUGUUGGGGCAGCGAAAAUUUUUGGGGGGUGGUAUGGAGAGAUAAUGGGCGAUGUUUCUCAGGGCUGCUUCAAGCGGGAUUAGGGGCGGCGUGGGAGCCUAGAGUGGGAGAGAUUAAGCUGAAGGGAGGUCUUGUGGUAAGGGGUGAUAUCAUGGGGAUGUUAGAAGAAACAUUUGUCGUAUAGAAUGAUUGGUGAUGGCCUGGAUACGGUUUUGGAUGAUUUGAGAAGCUAAAUGGAAGAUACAAGGUCCGAAUAAAAGGAGGAGAAAAAUGGGUAUUAAAUGUCUAAGAAUUGGGAGGACCUAGGACAUCUGAUUAGAGAGUGCCUAAGGAGAUUCAGCAUAGUCCUGCCAGCAAAGAUUAUUUACUUCAAGAGUUAAGAGUGGCAGUUUGGGGAUAGCACCAGGAGAUAUCAGCUGUGAUGGCUUGGAGAAACAGUGUAAACCGGCAGUGUAAACAAGAGCAGGGCAUGUAUGAGUAGUUGAGAACGGUGAAUAGGAGUAUGACUAGACAGAAGAUAGUAGGGAUGACAAGUUUUUUGGGGCACAGUCUAAGUUGGUCUGGUGUCUGGAAUGAGACUGGGGCCUAAUAAAAAGGAGCGUCUAUACAGGAGCUUAAAUGGGAUGUACCUUGUAGCAUUCUGAGGACAGGCCUGAUUUCUGAGAAGGGAAAGUGGUAAAAGUAUUGUCCAGUCCUUUUUAAGCUGGUGGCUGAGCUUGGUGAGGUGUGUUUUUAAAAGACCUUUAGUCCGUUCUACUUUUCUUGAAGAAGGAGGACCGUAAGGGAUAUAAAGGUUUCACUGAAUACUAAGAGCCUGAAAAACUGCUUGGCUGAUUUGACUAAUAAAGGCUGGUCUGUUAUCAGACUGUAUAGAGGUGGGAAGGCUAAACUGAGGAAUUGUGUCUGACAGAAGGGAAGAAAUGACUGUGGUGGCCUUCUCAGACCCUGUAGGAAAGGCCUUUACUUUAUUCAGUGAAAGUGUCUAUUUAGACUAAGAGGUAUUUUAGUUUCCUGAAUCAGGGCAUGUUGAGUAAAGGUAAUUUGCCAGUCCUGGGUGGGGCAAAUCCUCCAGCCUGAUGUGUAGGGAAGGGAGGGGGCCUGAAUAAUCCCUGAGGAGUAGUAGAAUAGCAGAUGGAACACUGAGAAGUUAUUUCCUUGAGGAUAGAUUUCCACGAUGGAAAGGAAAUGAGAGGUUCUGAGAGGUGGGCUAGUGGCUUGUACUAUAGCAUAACCUGCCUUUGCUGGUGUGUGGCGAUUAGGCCUGGUGGAACUUCCAUCAAUAAAUCAAGCGUGAUCAGGGUGAGGAACAGGAAAGAAGGAAAUAUGGGGUGAAUAUCAGGUGGAUCAGAGAGAUACAGUCAUGGAGGUCAGGUGUGGUAUCAGGAAUAAUGUGGGAGGCCAGAUUGAAGUCCAGGCCAGGAACAAUGGUAAUUGUGGGACUUAAGAAAGUGUGAGUACAGCUGAAGGAGCCGGGGAGCAGAAAGUAUAUGCGUCAGGUAUGAGGAAGAAAAUAGAUUUUGGAAGUUAUGAGAAAUGUAGAGAGUGAGUUGAGCAUAGUUUGUGAUUUUGAGGGCCUCUAACAGUAUUAAAGCAGCGGCAGCGGCUGCACACAGACAUGAUGGCUAGGCUAAAACAGGAAGGUCAAGUUGUUUGGACAGAAAGGCUACAGGGUGCAGUCCUGGCUCUUGUGUAAGAAUUCUGACCACACUAACCAUGCCUAGGAAGGAAAGGAGUUGUUCUUUUGUAAGGGAUUGAGGUUUGGGAGAUUAAUCGGACACGAUCAGCAGGGAGAGCACCUGUGUUUUUAUGAGAAUUAUGCUGAGAUAGGUAACAGAUGAGGAUGAAAUUUGGGCUUGACUGAAGUAAUGGGGGCUGUCUGUGAAGCCUUGCGGCAGUACAGCCCAGGUAAUUUGCUGAGCCUAAUGGGUGUCAGGGUCAGUCUAAGUGAAGGCAAAGAGAGGCUGGGAUGAAGGGUGCAAAGGAAUAGUAAAGAAAGCAUGUUUGAGAUCCAGAACAGAAUAAUGGGUAGUAGAGGGAGGUAUUGAGGAUAGAAGAGUAUACGGGUUUGGCACCACGGGGUGGAUAGGCAAAACAUUUGGUUGAUAAGGCGCAGAUUCUGAACUAACUUGUAAGGCUUGUCUGGUUUUAGGACAGGUAAAAUGGGGGAAUGGUAAGGAGAGUUUAUAGGUUUUAGGAGCCCAUGCUGUAGCAGGCAAGUGAUAACAGGCUUUAAUCCUUUUAAAGCAUGCUGUGGGAUGGGAUAUUGGUGUUGAGCGGGGUAAGGGUGAUUAGGUUUUAAUGAGAUGGUAAGGGGUGCAUGAUCGGUCGCCAAGGAGGGAGUAGAGGUAUCUUAUACUUGUGGGUUAAGGUGGGGGGAUACAAGAGGAGGACGCAAAGGAGGCUUUGGAUUAGGAAUAAGGGCGGCAAUGAGAUGCAGCUGUAGUCCAGGAGUAGUCAGGGAAGCAGAUAAUUUAGUUAAAGUGUCUCGGCCUAAUAAGGGAACUGGGCAGGUGGGGAUAACUAAAAAGGAGUGCGUAAAAGAGUAUUGUCUAAGUUGGCACUAGAGUUGGGAAGUUUUAAGAGGUUUAGAAGCCUGGCCGUCAAUACCCACAGCAGUUAUGGAGGCAAGGGAAACAGGCCCUUGAAAAGUAGGUAAUGUGGAGUGGGGAGCCUCCAUAUUGAUUAAGAAGGGGACGGACUUACCCUCCACUGUGAGAGUUACCUAAAGCUCAGUGUCUGUGAUGGUCUACAGGGCUUCCGAGGUGAUUGGGCAGCGUCAGUCUUCAGCCGCUAAGCCGAGAAGAUCUGGGAAGGAGUCAGUCAGAGAGCCUUGGGCCAGAGUUCCAGGGUCUCUGGGAGUCGCUGCCAGUCUUUUUUAGCCGAUUAUGGUCUCCUAACGUGUCCGGAAUUGGUGGAUUCUUGGUCUCGCUGACUUCAAGAAUGAAGCUACGGACCGUCACGAUGUUCCGGGGCUGAUCUUGAGACAGACACACCAAGCCUAGAGAUCCAGCUGCAAAGUUCCAGAGAUUACUUCAAGGUGGCUAGCCAACAACCCAGCCAUUGUGGAGAUGACAUCAGCCCAAAGGCCAGGUGGACUGGGACCCAAGACAGCCACCAGCAUAAGACACACAGACAUUUUGCUCAGCCCGAGGUCCAGGUGGACUGGGUCCCAAGACAGCCACCAGGACAAGACACAAAGGCAUUGUACUCAGCCCAAUUCUUGCAUGCCUUUCUUAACAAGUUUUCCCCUUUUUAAACCCCUUCCUUCCCCCCACCAAAUUGAAGUGGUUACUUUGGAUAGGCAUCCAAUCAUUUCCCCUUCACUAGUUUUGGUUAAUAAAGUCAUUUUCUUUCUACCAGACCUCACUCUUGUUACUGGACUCUGUACGCAGUGAGCAUCCGGACCUGUGUUCAGUUACAAACCAAUGUCCACAGUUUACAUUAGGGUUCACUCAGUGCUGUGCAUGCUAUGGGCUUGAACAAAUGUAUCAUGCCAUGCAGCCACCGUUGCAGUAUCAUCCAAAAAAGCUGUGCUUAUUGCUUUCCUAAAAGCAUGAGGCUUCUGGAGUUCCGUUCUACAGGAAGAGAGAAGAGAAAUGGAAUGAACCCUAGGAUUCAUUGCAGCAUUAUUCACAAUGGCCAAGAUGGAAACAACCUCGGUGGCUGUCUACAGAUGAAUGGAGAAAGAAAAAUGAUAUUAGGCAGCCAUAAAAAAGAAAGAAAUGCUGCCAUCUUCAACAACAUGCGUGAACCUAGAGAACACUGGACUAAGUAAAACAAGUCAGACACAGGAGGACAUUUGGC